rnacentral:tRNA from 1 species
GGGGCAGUAGCUCAGUGGUCAGAGCAGGGGACUCAUAAUCCCUCGGUCGCGGGUUCGAUCCCCGCCUGCCCCACCA